UAUUCUGUAGCAAGGUUAACCGUAUAGGGGAGCCGCAGGGAAACCGAGUCUUAACUGGGCGUUAAGUUGCAGGGUAUAGACCCGAAACCCGGUGAUCUAGCCAUGGGCAGGUUGAAGGUUGGGUAACACUAACUGGAGGACCGAACCGACUAAUGUUGAAAAAUUAGCGGAUGACUUGUGGCUGGGGGUGAAAGGCCAAUCAAACCGGGAGAUAGCUGGUUCUCCCCGAAAGCUAUUUAGGUAGCGCCUCGUGAACUCAUCUUCGGGGGUAGAGCACUGUUUCGGCUAGGGGGUCAUCCCGACUUACCAACCCGAUGCAAACUACGAAUACCGAAGAAUGUUAUCACGGGAGACACACGGCGGGUGCUAACGUCCGUCGUGAAGAGGGAAACAACCCAGACCGCCAGCUAAGGUCCCAAAGUCAUGGUUAAGUGGGAAACGAUGUGGGAAGGCACAGACAGCCAGGAUGUUGGCUUAGAAGCAGCCAUCAUUUAAAGAAAGCGUAAUAGCUCACUGGUCGAGUCGGCCUGCGCGGAAGAUGUAACGGGGCUAAACCAUGCACCGAAGCUGCGGCAGCGACACUAUGUGUUGUUGGGUAGGGGAGCGUUCUGUAAGCCUGCGAAGGUG
rnacentral:rRNA from 1 species